AUUUGGCUCAGAGGCCUUUGAGGAGGUCACCAAGGCUGUUGGAGAUGCCCAUUAUCUGGAAGCUAUCAGGAUGCUCUGGAGGGCAUCCCCCAGCUCGCAGGGUCAAUGUGGCAGGCGCAAGUGCUGGGAUGCCAGAAGUUGCCUUCCUGAUCACGCUCACCCUGCUAGGGAGGGAUGAGAGCAUUGUGCUUUAAAGAGCAUCCCCAACCCUAUCAGCAAGAGAUGAGAUAUCCUAAUUAUGGCAGAACAGGCGAGGAUCCGGGCCGUAUCAGCCAGCACAGAAAGGAUCACACCAAGAAGCAUCUACGAGCCUGCUGCGUGGCUCGUGGGAAGGCAGCCUGCUUCAUACAGACAACCUCGGGUUGUGCUUGACAGACAAGGGAAACUGAGGCAGGACUGCAUGGAGGGGAUACCCCACCAUGGAACAACACACUGGUUCUUGCAAAAGAUGUCCCCUAGAAAGUGAACUCUGAAGGGGCACUGGCACAAUGAAGCCCCAUCCUUCUCCUUGCUUGGACCUAUGACUAUGGAAGGGAUCCACUGGGAAAAGAGACCCUGAGACCCAUUGAGCACACCUCCACUCCAAACCCACAUCCAGGGGAACAGCCCAGACAUUCAUUACACAUUCAGGGUGUGCACAUGGCAGGGAAUAAACUCCCAAUUGUUACUCAUUAUAAGGAUGCAGUUUCUAACUCCUUUUGCAACCAAGAGGUAAAAAUUAAUGGGUUCCCCUCCUCUCGCCACACCCCCAGCCUGAGUGCUGAUGCAGCAGCAGCAAACAAUGACUAAUCCUCCUUAAACCCUACUGAGCGAA